GGUAGAGCGCAACCUUGCCAAGGUUGAGGUCGCGAGUUCGAGACUCGUUUCCCGCUCCA
rnacentral:tRNA from 1 species